UGGGGAAUCUUGCACAAUGGAGGAAACUCUGAUGCAGCGACGCCGCGUGAGCGAUGAAGCCCUUCGGGGUGUAAAGCUCUUUCGACGGGAACGAUAAUGACGGUACCCGAAGAAGAAGCUGCGGCUAACUACGUGCCAGCAGCCGCGGUAAUACGUAGGCAGCAAGCGUUGUUCGGAAUUACUGGGCGUAAAGAGUGUGUAGGCGGUGCUCCAAGUCUGGUGUGAAAUCUCCCGGCUCAACUGGGAGGGUGCAUUAGAAACUGGAAUGCUAGAGGAUGGGAGAGGUAAGCGGAAUUCCUGGUGUAGCGGUGAAAUGCGUAGAUAUCAGGAGGAACACCUGUGGUGUAGACAGCUUACUGGACCAUUUCUGACGCUGAGACACGAAAGCGUGGGUAGCAAAC
rnacentral:rRNA from 1 species